UUUAUAUUGUAACUAAAAUCAGAUAAAAAUAUUAGAUUUGAGCAAAAGUUUUUUGAUAAAAAAAGAUAGUGAAAUUGUUUGUAUGAGAUUAUACUUUAUUUUACUUAUUUUCAAUUUGCAAUUUACAAGUAAUAAGUAUCUACAAACGAGUACUUGGUUUUAGCAAAUAACAAAUCGGAACAAGUAACUUACAUGUAUUGAUUUUUCUCUAGAGUACUAGAUAUAGCAAGUACUUAUUUUAAAUAAGUCAAGUUCAAGUCCUAAAUACGAUUACUUGAACGAGUCAAGCCAAGUACCUAACCUUUGAAAAUUAGCAAGUACUUUGCUUGUGUCCACCCCUACCAUUGACCAACGCUUCAUCGCUGCAAAUUACC
rnacentral:lncRNA from 1 species